rnacentral:snRNA from 1 species
AUGCUUGCUUCAGCAGCACAUAUUCUAAAAUUGGAAUGAUACUGAGAUUAGCAUGGCCCCUGCACAGGGGUGACAUGCAAAUUUGUGAAGCAUUCCAUAUUUUA